rnacentral:snRNA from 1 species
AGUAGUUUUGCAUAAAUCCUC